AUUGAACGCUGGCGGCAUGCUUUACACAUGCAAGUCGAACGGUAACAGGGUGCUUGCACCGCUGACGAGUGGCGAACGGGUGAGUAAUGCGUCGGAACGUGCCGAGUAGUGGGGGAUAACGCAGCGAAAGUUGUGCUAAUACCGCAUACGUACUGAGAAAGAAAGUGGGGGACCUUCGGGCCUCACGCUAUUCGAGCGGCCGACGUCUGAUUAGCUAGUAGGUGAGGUAAAGGCUCACCUAGGCGACGAUCAGUAGCGGGUCUGAGAGGAUGAUCCGCCACACUGGGACUGAGACACGGCCCAGACUCCUACGGGAGGCAGCAGUGGGGAAUUUUGGACAAUGGGCGAAAGCCUGAUCCAGCCAUGCCGCGUGUCUGAAGAAGGCCUUCGGGUUGUAAAGGACUUUUGUCGGGGAGGAAAUCCCCAGCGUUAAUACCGCUGGGGGAUGACAGUACCUGAAGAAUAAGCACCGGCUAACUACGUGCCAGCCGCCGCUGUAACAC
rnacentral:rRNA from 1 species